UACGAAGGGGGCUAGCGUUGCUCGGAAUGACUGGGCGUAAAGGGCGCGUAGGCGGUUCAUACAGUCAGGCGUGAAAUUCCUGGGCUCAACCUGGGGGCUGCGCUUGCGACGUAUGGGCUGGAGUGCGGAAGAGGGUCGUGGAAUUCCGAGUGUAGAGGUGAAAUUCGUAGAUAUUCGGAAGAACACCAGUGGCGAAGGCGGCUCACUGGCUCAUACUGGACGCUGAGGUGCGAAAGCGUGGGGAGCAAACAGG
rnacentral:rRNA from 1 species